rnacentral:misc_RNA from 1 species
GAAAUGCGAUACGUAGUGUGAAUUGCAGAAUUCCGUGAACCAUCGAAUCUUUGAACGCACAUUGCGCCCCUUGGUAUUCCAUGGGGCAUGCCUGUUCGAGCGUCAUUUGUACCCUCAAGCUCUGCUUGGUGUUGGGUGUUUGUCCCCGUCUCCGCGCGUGGACUCGCCCCAAAGUGAUUGGCAGCCGGCGUACUGGUCCCGGAGCGCAGCACAUGUCGCGCAAACGAGUGCCUUGGUACGGCGGCGUCCAUAAGCCCCUCUCUCACGCUCUUGACCUCGGAUCAGGUAGGGAUACCCGCUGAACUUAAGC